rnacentral:rRNA from 1 species
AGCGAACGCUGGCGGCAGGCCUAACACAUGCAAGUCGAGCGCGAAAAUUCCUUCGGGGAUGAGUAGAGCGGCGGACGGGUGAGUAACGCGUAGGAAUCUGCCCGGUAGUGGGGGACAACAGUCGGAAACGACUGCUAAUACCGCAUACGCCCUAAGGGGGAAAGCAGGGGAUCUUCGGACCUUGCGCUAUCGGAUGAGCCUGCGUCGGAUUAGCUUGUUGGUGGGGUAAUGGCCUACCAAGGCGACGAUCCGUAGCUGGUCUGAGAGGAUGAUCAGCCACACUGGGACUGAGACACGGCCCAGACUCCUACGGGAGGCAGCAGUGGGGAAUAUUGGACAAUGGGGGGAACCCUGAUCCAGCAAUGCCGCGUGUGUGAAGAAGGCCUGCGGGUUGUAAAGCACUUUAGUUAGGGAGGAGUGUUUGAAGGUUAAGAGCUAUCAAGCAGGACGUUACCUAAAGAAUAAGCACCGGCUAACUCCGUGCCAGCAGCCGCGGUAAAGUG